UGUAGUUUCCCCAACCUCCAUUCUGCCAUAUGACUGAGAGAGAGAGACCAUUCACAGCUCUGUGCAUUUCAUUUGCUCUGGGGACAUGCAUCAGCGUGACCAUGACAUCAGACUACAGAGCAGAGAAGUGGAGCAGGCACUCCGGCGUACCGUUCGAUCCAUUGACAUGGCAGCCUCUGCUCUCAGCUGCAGCUCUGGAUCCAUUGUCUGCAUCCCUCCUCACUGCCACACACGGACUUAGUCAGCACAACAACACCGCUUAUACCCCACUACUGCAGCCAGAUAACAGGAGCCAGGUGCCUGAUAACUGUAUAUUCUACACAACUACAACGACUGACUGCCGGAGAGCCCGGGGGAUGGGACCAGCUCUGCGCCAACAAUCAACGAUAGGCUGGGUGAGACUAAACCACGCCCAGUCUCUACUCUGACAGGCCGGCUCGGAAGCAGGAACUACUUCUGUCAUCAGAGUAUAUUAUAAUAUCUUUGUCAGGAACAAGUCAGUUCUCUGUUUGCCCUGCGAGGUUGGACAGAGAGCCCGUAUAUACGAAAAUUGCAUUUACCACUUAUUGCUUAGCUAAUAAAAAAUACAUAGUAUACAA